CUCAUUACUGUUCACAUUAGACUGUAUGUUAACUUAUAAAUUGAUUAACACGACUGCCGACUUUAACAAUGCUCGUUUGGAACAUUUGGAAAUUAUUACUUCUAUUCUCUAUAGCUCUAUUGUAUCUAUCAAGAAAGCGCUUCACUGGCUACGGUUAUGUUAAAAGACAGAAUGGCCACAACAAUAAAAAUUUGGAUGUUUGGUUCGUCGAAUAUUCGCGAAUGAAUCCAAAAUAGUACAGAGACCAUGUUAAUUAAUAAAUCUGGGUUUUCACAUUCUUCGAUUGGUCUAAA